UACAGAGGUGGCAAGCGUUGUUCGGAAUUACUGGGCGUAAAGGGCGCGUAGGCGGUCUUGUAAGUCUCGUGUGAAAUCCCUCGGCUUAACUGAGGAACUGCACGGGAUACUGCUUGACUUGAGUUCGGGAGAGGGAAGCGGAAUUCCGGGUGUAGCGGUGAAAUGCGUAGAUAUCCGGAGGAACACCGGUGGCGAAGGCGGCUUCCUGGACCGACACUGACGCUGAGGCGCGAAAGCUAGGGGAGCAAACGGG
rnacentral:rRNA from 1 species